UACGUAGGGUCCGAGCGUUGUCCGGGGUUACUGGGCGUAAAGCGCGCGCAGGCGGCGCGGUCAGCAUGGCGUGAAAGCCCCCGGCUCAACCGGGGAGGGUCGUCGUGGACUGCCGCGCUUGAGGGCGGUAGGGGCUGGUGGAAUUCCCGGUGUAGUGGUGAAAUGCGUAGAGAUCGGGAGGAACACCCGUGGCGAAGGCGGCCAGCUGGGCCGACCCUGACGCUGAGGCGCGAAGGCGUGGGGAGCGAACGGG
rnacentral:rRNA from 1 species